CAGGUUUCUAGGAUGCUUAUAUAUAUAUUUGAAUUUGGGUAUUUUCUUAAUAUCCAUAGUGAACUUAUACAAAAUGUAGACAUUAACCAUUAAAUAUUUAUUAUCUGAACUUUACAUGAUAAUGUAAUGAAUUUUGGAUAUUUCAAAAAGAUUAUACAAAUAAAACUUAAAUAUAAAAAAAUGACAUAUAUGGGAGUUGAAAAUCUAUACCCCUGUGAAGUGGAAGGGGGAGUUGGCAACAUCAUUGAGUCAGUCCCUCCUGGAUGUGUGUCGCUUCCAUCAUCCCUCAAGUGAGUACUAGAUAGUGACAGUUAAGAAGACAUUUGGAGACAAACGAUACCUCACAUCUGAGCUUUCUUUUAAUCGCACCAGGCAUUGCCUUCCACGUUGCUUCAUUCUUCUCCAUUUGAUGUAUGGUGUGUAAGCUGGAACUGCUUGCUUUGAAGCUGGAACAAUGGAAAUGGGAAUGGGAAUGGGG
rnacentral:lncRNA from 1 species